AUUCUAAAGAUCUGAUAACCGAAGACAGCAGGCGCAACUGGCUUAAUAUCCUGCCGAGGUUAAGGUAUUAAAGAUUUUAACGGUGAAUUAAAGGCUAAUUAUGCCUUGAGUUCUAACGGAUAAUUUUUAUUCCUUUACCCGGCUUGAUGAAUUCCGGGUUUUUUAAUGCCAAU
rfam:Arthrospira platensis NIES-39 DNA, nearly complete genome.